rnacentral:rRNA from 1 species
UGGCCUUGACAUACUAAGAACUUUCCAGAGAUGGAUUGGUGCCUUCGGGAACUUAGAUACAGGUGCUGCAUGGCUGUCGUCAGCUCGUGUCGUGAGAUGUUGGGUUAAGUCCGCAACGAGCGCAACCUUUUCCUAUUUGCCAGCGGGUAAUGCCGGGAACUUUAAGGAUACUGCCAGUGACAAACUGGAGGAAGGCGGGGACGACGUCAAGUCAUCAUGGCCCUUACGGCCAGGGCUACACACGUGCUACAAUGGUCGGUACAAAGGGUUGCUACCUCGCGAGAGGAUGCUAAUCUCAAAAAGCCGAUCGUAGUCCGGAUCGCAGUCUGCAACUCGACUGCGUGAAGUCGGAAUCGCUAGUAAUCGCGGAUCAGAAUGCCGCGGUGAAUACGUUCCCGGGCCUUGUACACACCGCCCGUCACACCAUGGGAGUUUGUUGCACCAGAAGUAGGUAGUCUAACCGCAAGGAGGACGCUUACCACGGUGUGGCCGAUGACUGGGGUGAAGUCGUAACAAGGUAGGCGUAGAUGA